CUCCCCCGCCCUCCCUCCACCCUCUUCUCUCCUCUGAAUCGGGGAGGCUGGGAGGCCAAGGUUACCACCAGCACCUUUUCUUAGGAACUGGGAAGCCCGAGUGCAAGAUGAUCGCCAGGCGUUAGAACCGACACAAAGACGCUUCGGGAUCUCCUGGAACCCCGCUCGGGGCACACUGGAUUCACGCCACUGUCCGUCCAGGCUGCCUGCACAAGCCUCCGGGCCUCCGGGACUGUCCUGUGCCCAUCUCGAAGCCCCGCCCCCCACCCCCGGCGUUCCCGGAGCUUCGAUCGCUCUCCAGACCUUCUGGCGGCCACCUAGAGCCUGCGGGCCUUCACGGGGGGACAGAGCCCUGGGCCUCCCUCCCUGCCAGCCUCUGCCUGCGGGAAAAUCGGCGGGCCUGCCUCCCUCACCUGAGCUCGGGUGUAACGGAGGCCUGGCGCUGUGCUCCCAGUCUGUUUCCAAAACUCUUUGCCUAAAACUACAACCUGCUGUGUCUUCUGCCUUUAAGACACUACAGACGCCAGCGUUGAACGGUCGCCGGCUGCGGAUGCAGGCCGCCUCGGGCCUGGAAUCACAGCUCCCUGCUCCCUGCUGCCCGGCCCAGGCUUGGGUGCGGUGGCCCCGAGUUCUCCAGGUCAGCGUCACCAACCACGCCGUGCUGACAGCACUCUCCGAAUCUAACCGGUUGAAACCACACACACAUCUCUCUUGCCCGGCUUGCGCGUCGGCCCUAGGUUGGUUGUAG
rnacentral:lncRNA from 1 species